rnacentral:rRNA from 1 species
GAUGAACGCUGGCGGAGUGCCUAAUACAUGCAAGUCGAGCGAACGGACGAGAAGCUUGCUUCUCUGAUGUUAGCGGCGGACGGGUGAGUAACACGUGGAUAACCUACCUAUAAGACUGGGAUAACUUCGGGAAACCGGAGCUAAUACCGGAUGAUAUUUUGAACCGCAUGGUUCAAAAGUGAAAGACGGUCUUGCUGUCACUUAUAGAUGGAUCCGCGCUGCAUUAGCUAGUUGGUAAGGUAACGGCUUACCAAGGCAACGAUGCAUAGCCGACCUGAGAGGGUGAUCGGCCACACUGGAACUGAGACACGGUCCAGACUCCUACGGGAGGCAGCAGUAGGGAAUCUUCCGCAAUGGGCGAAAGCCUGACGGAGCAACGCCGCGUGAGUGAUGAAGGUCUUCGGAUCGUAAAACUCUGUUAUUAGGGAAGAACAUAUGUGUAAGUAACUGUGCACAUCUUGACGGUACCUAAUCAGAAAGCCACGGCUAACUACGUG